UACGCAGAGGUGUGGUAGUCCCGAGUUGUGGGCCACGCUAGUGUCAUGUCGGCUGCUGACAAUUUAGUUAGAAUCAUAUAUAAGAACUGUGGGCUGAGAUAUUGAGGAGCUGUACUACCGGCUAUAAUCUAAGAAGAACCAGCGAGAUGGAGACUGGGUGCUGGUCAAGAUUAUGUGAAGUGCGCGGUAAUUAAUAUGAACGCUGAAAACAAUGAACAGUGAAAAGUGAAUA